rnacentral:ncRNA from 1 species
CGGGGACGCGCAGACUCCCCGUCAGACGGCUCUAGCCUUCCAAGCUCUGC